rnacentral:rRNA from 1 species
CCUACGGGUGGCAGCAGUAGGGAAUCUUCCACAAUGGGCGAAAGCCUGAUGGAGCAACGCCGCGUGGGUGAAGAAGGUCUUCGGAUCGUAAAACCCUGUUGUUAGAGAAGAAAGUGCGUGAGAGUAACUGUUCACGCUUCGACGGUAUCUAACCAGAAAGCCACGGCUAACUACGUGCCAGCAGCCGCGGUAAUACGUAGGUGGCAAGCGUUAUCCGGAUUUAUGGGGCGUAAAGGGAACGCAGGCGGUCUGUUAAGUCUGAUGUGAAAGCCUUCGGCUUAACCGGAGUAGUGCAUUGGAAACUGGGGGGCUUGAGUGCAGAAGAGGGGAGUGGAACUCCAUGUGUAGCGGUGAAAUGCGUAGAUAUAUGGAAGAACACCAGUGGCGAAGGCGGCUCUCUGGUCUGUAACUGACGCUGAGGUUCGAAAGCGUGGGUAUCGAACAGGAUUAGAUACCCCUGUAGUC